UGUCUCUCUCUUGUCUCUCUCUCUAUCUCUCUCUCUUGUCUCUCUCUCUCUAUCUCUCUCUCCCCGCUGCAGGUUCUAAUUGCGGGAGAGGUCCCUCGAUGAUUUUGUACGCCUGUGUUGACGGCGGCGGGUUGGGGGGGUUCCACCGUGGACGGGGUCGCCGGCCUUCAGCGCGGAUUUUGGGUGUGGGCUUAGCCCGUUGACGACGCUCCAAAUUGUCUCAGCGGAACCGCCCAGGGCAUUUUUGCUACUGGGUUCUAAUUGCGGGAGAGGUCCCUCGAUGAUUUUGUACGCCUGUGUUGACGGCGGCGGGUUGGGGGGGUUCCACCGUGGACGGGGUCGCCGGCCUUCAGCGCGGAUUUUGGGUGUGGGCUUAGCCCGUUGACGACGCUCCAAAUUGUCUCAGCGGAACCGCCCAGGGCAUUUUUGCUACUGGGUAAUAAAUGAUUUUCAAAGUCAAA